AGUCCACCCAAGCCAGUUGCCAGGACCGGCUCAGAUGUCUUUAAGUGCUGUGUAAGCCUUGUUCUUUGGCUGUUAGCAGUAAAUCUUGUUGCUGCUCACUCUUGGGUCUGCGCCGACUUUGUGAGCUGUAACACUCACUGCCAAGGUCUGCAGCUUCACUCCUGAAGCCAGCUAGACCACGAGCCCACCAGAAGGAAGAAACUCUGGACACAUCUGAACAUCUGAAGGAACAAACUCCCGACACACCAUGUUUAAGAACUGUAACACUCACCGCGAGGGUCCGCGGCUUCAUUGUUGAAGUCAACGAGUUGGAGAACCCACCAAUUCUGGACACACUACCAGUGUGGUAGCCUAAGCAGGUUAUUUUGGUUUUCAUAUAUUGUGGCUGGACAGGGUUCCAAAAGAGAAAGAGAGACUGCAAGUAUUCAAAGACUUUUGAACUCUGGGCUUGUAUCUUGCCUCUCCUAACUCCCACUGCAUUUUAUUGGCCAAAGAAAUUCAAAAGAUUAAAGAGAAGAAAUAAGAAAUUCUGAAUUUUUAAUGGUAGGACUUGGGAAAUGGAGCAGUUACAGGUAAAAGGGAAUGAUUAUGGCCAUCUAUGUAGUCUGUCUUACAGGUACCAUACUAAAGUUUGAAUAACAUAUUACUUGUAUCUGCAGAGGUAAAGGUGACUAUCAGAAGAAAUAUUAUAGCGCAUACAUGGUCAAUGGAAUAAUUGUUUUAGCUUCACAUUUAGUUUUGUUUCUGUAAUCUAUGCAGUUCUACUCAUUGAUCAACAAACAUAACUUGGACUUUCUUGCUUUCAUAUUGUUCUUUGCCUAAUUGUCCUUGUUUCUGAUGUGUCAAGAUCUCUGACACCUUUCAACUUUAAAUCCAGUUUGAUUCGUUGUCAAUGGACAAUCCUCCACCUCUGAGAAGCUUUCUAUGAUUACUUCAGAUGAAGGACUCAGCAAGAACUUGGCACUCUGCAACCCAGAAGAGAGUUCUCGGCAGAAACCAAUCAUGCUGGCACUUGGAUCUAGGACUUCAAGCUUCCAGAAAUUUGUGGAAUAAGUCUCUGCUGUUUAUAAGCCACCAAGUCUAUGAUAAUGUGUCAGAGGACUGAGCUAAGACAUAAAGUGAGCUAGAGUUAAGAUUUAAGAUCUAUUUGUUACAAUAAAAUUCAAAAUAGUCGUAUAAAUGUUUAAAUGCAACAUCUCAAAAAUCGUAACAUGUUCUUACAUUUAGAGAAUUAGUACAGAAACAUUAAGUCAACAAAAUUUCUAACAUUAAAUUGAUGUCUACUUGUUAUGUUGAUUUGCAAACAUUUUUUUCCACAUGGAUAUAUUUCCUUUUGUUUACCCAACUAAUUGUUACUACAUUACAGGAAAUCUUUUAUUUAUUUUGUAUUUCUCUGUAAACACCUCCCUACCUUGUCUAGUAUAGUGUCAAAUUAUUUCAUGCUUUUAUUAAUGUAAUGGCAAAGUCAUUUUAAUGGCCAGAAUAUAAAGAAUUAUAAAUAACACCUCCAUAGAAUUAAGAUUUGAUUGUUGCAAUGGCAAUAUGGAUGACAUUUAGAAAAAUGUGUUGUAUAGGCCAUCAGACAUUAAAAAAAUUAGCUAAGCUGCAAAUCAAUUUUUACAUGCAAAUAUAACAUAUUAAUAACAGCAGUAGAUGAAAAAAGGAUUGGCUUGAAUUGCUAAGUCAUUUCACACACUGAUACCAGAGUAAAAUACUUCAAAAUUGUUCUUACUGAACAUUCUUCUUUUCCUCCGACAUACACAGAAGAAGAAAAAUAUCACUAUACCAUUAAUGUCUUUUACAUACCUAUACACAAUCUGAGCUUUCUUAGAGGAACAAUGAACAAAAUAAUUUUUCUAUUUCUUUGGAACAUAUUUACUUAACAUGAAAGAUCUUGUGCCUUUGCAUUGGGCGUUCAUUUCCUCUAUGAUGGAUAGGAGAAUAAAGAGGGACAAACAUAAGGUCUGCUAAUAUGGUAAUGUCUGUAGGUGGUGUACGUGUUUAUACAUAUUUGACAUGCACUUUAACAAGACAUGAAUUUAUCACUCAAAAACACUACCCUGCUCCCAUCUUCCUCAAAGUGAAAAAGAAAAGAAACAAAGAAUGUUAGAUACAUCUAAUAAAAGGACAAAAUAGGCCUGAUGCCCUCGAAAAAGAAAAAAACUGUUCUCACAAAGGCCUUGAAGUUCAAGCAGUGGCUUCAACAUAUAUCAAAACUUGUUUCACACCCUUCACAUUUGAUAACAGUAAUGAGGAAGAUAAUCUUCUGCCCAGACUUGUCCAGCUAAACUCAGAAAAAGAUGGGUAAAGUGGCACUAUAUAUUACAAUAAAUAUUUGGCAUGCUAUUUUCCUAUCUUCUUUGACUUUUCUAUUGCUUUUGACUGAUUAGUGACCAAUGAAAUGAAUAGACAUGGCAUGAUUGAUGGGAAGCAAUAUGGUGACUCAAGAAAAUCAACUGUUUUAGGAAGGCAUUGCACUUUUUAUUGUGUGAGAGGGAGAAAAGAAAGACAUGAAUUUUGAGUUUUUUCAAUCAUCUCUGCUUACCCUCAAAGGAGAUUUACUGCUAUUACAGAAUAAAGAUAAUCUGUGAUGGUGG